ACAUCCAAAUAGUCAGUGAAUAGCUAGCUUUUGUAUUUUUCCCAGAGACAGGAUUUUGCCAUGUUGCCCAGUCUGGUCUCAAACUCCUGGGCUCAAGCGAUCCUCCUACCUCAGCCUCACAAAGUACUGGGAUUACAAGUAUAAGCCACCACACCUGGCCAACACUCUCAUUUUGUGUUCCACAUUGAUUUUCAUGAGUAAUUUAUUAUUUUCUUCUUCUUUUUUUUUUGAGACAGAGUCUCACUCUGUUGCUUAGGCUGGAGUACAGUGAUGCAGUCUCAGCUCACUGCAGCCUCAACCUCCCUGGCUCACACUAUCCUCCCACCUUAGCAGACUCCCAAGUAGCUGGGACUACAGGCAUGUGCCACCAUGUCUGGCUAAUUUUUGUAUUUUUUGUAGACAUGAGGUUUCGCCAUUUUGCCCAGGCUAGUCUCAAACUCCUGAGCUCAAGUGAUUCUCCCACCUCAGCCUCUCAAAGUGCUGCGAUUACAGGUCUGAGCCACCUCGACCAGUUGAGUUAUUUGCUUCUCUUUGUUAGGGAAGCAAGAGCCUAGGACAGCCAGAGUGACACCAUUUUAAAUUCAGCUCCAUCCUGAAACUAACAAAGCACAUUUCUUGCUGGUCAUGACCCAUAGUCAUGGGAUGUUUAUAGUUUGGAUGUACCAAUACUCAUAACAAUAUAUGCUUUCAAGAUAAUUAUAGUUAUGCUUUGAUGUACUCACACACUAAAAUGUUAAGGAUAGUUUAAAUCAAGAGAGUAAUAAAUUUUGUCAUGCUGUCUGCUCACCCGCACGUAGACACAGGCUUGGCUUAGCUUUUACGUAGACAAGACCCCUUAUAAGAAAUAACUUAAACAAAGACAGGGCAUUCUUCCUCUUGCUUUCUGGGGACACCCUCCUGACUGUAACAGAGUAGCUUUCUUUUUUCUUUUCUUUUCUUUUAUUCAUUGACAUGGAGUCUCGCUCUUGCUGCCCAGGCUGGAGUACGACGGUGCUAUCUCGACUCACUGCAACCUCCACCUCCUGGGUUCAAGCGAUUCUUCUGCCUCAGCCUCUUGCGUAGCUGGGAUUACAGGCACAUGCCACCAUGCCCGGCUAACUUUUGUAUUUUUAUUAGAGACAGGGUUUCACCAUGUUGGCCAGGCUGAUCUCAAACUCCUGACUUUAAGUGAUCCA
rnacentral:lncRNA from 1 species